CCUACGGGUGGCAGCAGUCGAGAAUCAUUCACAAUGGGGGAAACCCUGAUGGUGUGACGCCGCGUGGGGGAAUGAAGGUCUUCGGAUUGUAAACCCCUGUCAUGUGGGAGCAAAUUAAAAAGAUAGUACCACAAGAGGAAGAGACGGCUAACUCUGUGCCAGCAGCCGCGGUAAUACAGAGGUCUCAAGCGUUGUUCGGAAUCACUGGGCGUAAAGCGUGCGUAGGCUGUUUCGUAAGUCGUGUGUGAAAGGCGCGGGCUCAACCCGCGGACGGCACAUGAUACUGCGAGACUAGAGUAAGGGAGGGGGAACAGGAAGUCUCGGUGUAGCAGUGAAAUGCGUAGAUAUCGAGAGGAACACUCGUGGCGAAGGCGGGUUCCUGGACAUUAACUGACGCUGAGGCACGAAGGCCAGGGGAGCGAAAGGGAUUAGAUACCCGAGUAGUC
rnacentral:rRNA from 1 species